AUAUAAAUAUAUAUACACUGCUCAAAAAAAUAAAGGGAACACUAAAAUAACACAUCCUAGAUCUGAAUUAAUUAAAUAUUCUUAUUAAAUACUUUUUUCUUUACAUAGUUGAAUGUGCUGACAACAAAAUCACACAAAAAGUAUCAAUGGAAAUCAAAUUUAUCAACCCAUGGAGGUCUGGAUUUGGAGUCACACUCAAAAUUAAAGUGGAAAACCACACUACAGGCUGAUCCAACUUUGAUGUAAUGUCCUUAAAACAAGUCAAAAUGAGGCUCAGUAUCGUGUGUGGCCUCCACGUGCCUGUAUGACCUCCCUACAACGCCUGGGUAUGCUCCUGAUGAGGUGGCGGAUGGUCUCCUGAGGGAUCUCCUCCCAGACCUGGACGAAAGCAUCCGCCAACUCUUGGACAGUCUGUGGUGCAACGUGGCGUUGGUGGAUGGAGCGAGACAUGAUGUCCCAGAUGUGCUCAAUUGGAUUCAGGUCUGGGGAACGGGCGGGCCAGUCCAUAGCAUCAAUGCCUUCCUCUUGCAGGAACUGCUGACACACUCCAGCCACAUGAGGUCUGAGCAUUGAGCAUUGUCAUGCAUUAGGAGGUACCCAGGGCCAAAAGCACCAGCAUAUGGUCUCACAAGGGGUCUGAGGAUCUCAUCUCGGUACCUAAUGGCAGUCAGGCUACCUCUGGCGAGCACAUGGAGGGCUGUGCGGCCCCCCAAAGAAAUGUCACCCCACACCAUGACUGACCCACCGCCAAACCGGACAUGCUGGAGGAUGUUGCAGGCAGCAGAACAUUCUCCACGGCGUCUCCAGACUCUGUCACAUGUGCUCAGUGUGAACCUGCUUUCAUCUGUAAAGAGCACAUAGCGCCAGUGGCGAAUUUGCCAAUCUUUGUGUUCUCUGGCAAAUGCCAAACGUCCUGCACGGUGUUGGGCUGUAAGCACAACCCCCACCUGUGGAAGUUGGGCCCUCAUACCACCCUCAUGGAGUCUGUUUCUGACCGUUUGAGCAUGCCACAUGCACAUUUGUGGCCUGCUGGAGGUCAUUUUGCAGGGCUCUGGCAGUGCUCCUCCUUGCACAAAGGCGAAGGUAGCGGUCCUGCUGCUGGGUUGUUGGCCUCCUCCACAUCUCCUGAAGUACUGGCCUGUCUCCUGGUAGCGCCUCCAUGCUCUGGACACUACGCUGACAGACACAGCAAACCUUCUUGCCACAGCUCGCAUUGAUGUGCCAUCCUGGAUGAGCUGCACUACCUGAGCCACUUGUGUAGGUUGUAGACUCCGUCUCAUGCUACCACUAGAGUGAAAGCACCGCCAGCAUUCAAAAGUGACCAAAACAUCAGCCAGGAAGGAUAGGAACUGAGAAGUGGUCUGUGAUCACCACCUGUAGAAACACUCCUUUAUUGGGGGUGUCUUGCUAAUUGCCAAUAAUUUCCACCUGUUGUCUAUUCCAUUUGCACAACAGCAUGUGAAAUGUAUUGUCAAUCAGUGUUGCUUCCUAAGUGGACAGUUUGAUUUCACAGAAGUGUGAUUAACUUGGAGUUACAUUAUGUUGUUUAAGUGUUCCCUUUAUUUUUUUGAGCAGUGUAUUUAGUUAAAUAAAUAGAUUUUGUUAUUCCUCAUCUCCACAUUGUUUCCUUGUUGUUAUGCACUUUGAGCCGGUUCGUGACAUCAUUUUCUGGAAUUGUCCAAGCUGUUUAAAGGCACAGUCAACUUAGUGUAUGUAAACUUCUGACCCACUGGAAUUGUGAUAGUGAAAUAAUCAUUGGGAAAAAGAAAUCCUGUUAUAUAAAUACCAUAAUUCCUAUGUUUUCAACUUGUUAUGGUAUUUAUGUUGCUAUAGCAUUUAAUUUGAAGUGACUUUACUUUUGAAACAUCCUUCCGUAGGCUCUAUAUACCAAUCCCAUUGAUUCACUAGCAGUGAUGCUAAUGUUGGCUGUGGGGUAUGUAAAGUAAGGAGAACUAAGCCAUGUUUUUGGUUUCUCAGAUCAGUGGGUGAAACGCUUUAUCAAUUAAAUUAAGUACAGUAUGUUUCACAUUUUGGUGUACAGCCCCUUUAAAUUGCAGCUGUUUUUACCACAAAUAUGAAAACAUUAAUAUUUACUUCAAGAUUCUAAACUAACUGAUACUACUGUAUAUACAAUCCUGAUGGUAAAUCAGCCUUAGUACUAAUGUGGGCUGCACAUUUAAGUGAAAAUGCAUAUUUUUAUUGAACAAUAUAUGCUAAAUAAUUCUAAUAUAACUAUAAAAUAAGUCUGUUUUGGUUAUUUUUCUAUUUCAGAUAACAUUACUUACAUGUCCGAUGUUUAAAAAAAACUAAGUUGCUAUUUUGCUGUGAUUGUUGCUUUUUCCAAUAGUUUCUUAUCAGGUCAUAAUGAUCCCAGUUGGUAAUCCGUGUAUGUAAAAUAUGGUUGUAGUAUGAGGGUUAAUAUAUUGAACAAAAAUAUAAACACAACAUGUAAAGUGUCGGUACCAUGUUUCAUGAGCUGAAAUAAAAGAUCUCA
ensembl:lncRNA